rnacentral:sRNA from 2 species
UAUCUCUCCGUACGGGGAAGGAUGAGAAGCUUCGACUAAGGUUCGAUUCGAGCGCAGCGAGAAAGCGUUGCCGCAGGCAACGACCCGAAGGGCGAAGCGCGCAGCGCUGAAUCAUCCUUCCCCCACCACCA